CCUCAGAGUGCUGUGGAGCGAAGGACGUCUGGGUUCAACAGCGCACGUCCACAGAGCCGACUGAAAGUGAGCAACAGGUCAGAUCAAUAUGAUUAUAAGGAUACAUUAAUGAAAUAAAUCAUGUGUAAGAUGAUUUAUUGAGAUAUUGUUCAUUGUUUCCCAAAGGCAGAGACUAGCCUCCUCAACACGAGUAGCGUGGAACAGCGCCUCCUAGAGUUGAACAGACAAAGUGCAGCAGCCAGGACUCGAUUACUUGAGAUUAUUGACCAACAACACAUAGCAUCAGCCAAACUGUCUCCUUCGGUCUCCCCUGUCCCACAUUCAGCUGUCAGCCCAAUUACAGACAGAGGACCAAGUUCAGAAGUGUCUCAGCUACAGCUACAGCCCAUGUUGCAGAACAAUCCAGCUGCUUUUAAUGAACCGUCACCUUCACAAAGUCUCAGAGGCAAAGCUAGUGACAACAUGACAAAGGACAAGAGGCAGAGCUCUCCAGAAGGCUGGUUUUCCCUGUCAACUCAUCUCAGAUGACGAGCGCCAAGAGUUUUACCAUGUAAAGCCUGGGAUUUUAAAUCAAAUUUGUAUAUCUUGAAUUAAUGAUGUGAAUAAAUGUUUUUACUAAUAGCGAUUUUUGUAAUGACCAAUUCCUUUUAAAUUUAAAUUAAAAACAAAACAAAAACACCUUGUCAUUACAGCCAUUUCUUAUUUACCGUCUGAGUUAAGUCUGGUGUCAGCAGAUGGCAACAUAGAGCCAUUCAAGAGGGCAAGUGUGAGCUGUACUGUUCAGUAUCUGUGACUAGUUCUCACUUCUCAACAGUUACUUCACAUCAUAAUAACUUUCACAAAACUAUAUGAAAAACUAAAAUUUGCCUUAACACAACUGAAUUCAUUUCAUAAAUGAUCAUAUAUUCCAACUAUAUUUUGUUCAUAC
ensembl:lncRNA